ensembl:lncRNA
GGCGUUUUGAAGGAUGACAUCAACAACAUGCUGUCCAGCUCCAUGUCAUAACAGAAAUGCGUUGACCUGGCUUCUAUGCCCAAACAUUGAUCAUGUGUCCUCUGCAUUGCAAAUUCUUGUUCACCUUGCUCAGGAGGACAAAGGUGAACUUGUCGAAAAGGUUCUUCAGCACUGCAACCCAGAAUUAUGCAUAGAUGCUCUUCGAAAACUGCUGAAGUCACCUGCCUCAUGGCUGAGUAGUACUGGAGCUUGUAUCUUUGGGGUCCUGCUGGAAAAUGAGUCCAUGGUGCUGAAACUUCAGAAGGGGACCAAAGGGGAAAGCAAUCUCAUAUGUGACCUUGUUCAGAUGUUUACUGAAGAUGAUCCUGAUGUUGUGAUGAAUGCUGCUGGAGCCAUAGCCUCAUUGGUUGAAACUACAUCAGGACGGACAUGGUUCCUUCAGAUCCAAAGUGUGUUCAGUGGGGUCCUUGAGAGCCUAUCAGUUCUUCUAGAGAAUGAGAGAGAGAAUACGGUUAACUCUGCAGCACUUAUUCUUGCACGACUGUCCCAGUGUGAAGAAACCUGUGAAAAGGUUUUAUCCCAUUCAUCUGCCUGCAAGAUCUUCAGAUGUUUAACACAAUGCUUGUCGUGUAGUCACAAAGACACAGCCAUGAAUGCGGCAUUUGCUGUUGGCCGUCUGUGUGGUAGCAAACAAGCCAAGAUCCUCAUUCUGAGAGUGGCCAAAGAGCAUCAGCUGGUUAGUCGCCUGCAGACUCUGCUGUUGAGUGGGUCAGGAGUGGAGAUGGGGCAAACAGUGUGCUUUGCUCUGAGCUGCUUAGCAAAUGAGGAAGAUGGCCAUGCUCUGCUGAUGGAAAGCACCUGUGUCCCUACAUUGCUGAAUGGUCUUUUACAGCUGUUGCAGAGCCCAGACCCAGACAGUAUCUGGUUUGCUGCUAUGACAGUACGAAUACUGGUUUCCCGGCCGAGUGGAGUGGUCCCUGUCAGGAUCCAUUGCUCUCUGCAUGAGCAGUUGAAGAUUCUCUCUAUGUCACCAUCCACUGGGCUAGAGCUGCAGGAGGAGGUCAACAUGUGUCUCAGGAAACUGGAGCGUUUAUCCAAACCACAUCCAGUGAUGGUUACAAACCUCUCAUCAACGAGCUGCACUGUAUCAUGGGAAAAGUGUAGACCUGAAAGUGGCCUGGAGGUCAUAUACAGUCUCUUUCACAAGGAUGUCAUGCUGUACCAUGGCCUGUUGUGUCAGGUGACCAUACCUAUUUCUCCCAAGCAAUCUAAGGAGCCCCUUUCCCUACAGCUCAACCUGUCUACACCUGAUGGUGACAUUAGUCCUUUCAGUGAACCUGUGGUUAUUACUCCAGAGCAGCUGGACACGAGACUUAAGCCUCCACGAGAGCUCUGUGUGAUUGGCUCUACAGCUACACAGGUACGCCUGUGCUGGAUAGAACCAGAGGGAGGAGCCAAACCCAAAUCAUACCAGAUCUACUGUAAUGACACACUGGUGAAGACCACUGCUCUGCUGGGGGCUACAGUUGGCUGUUUAUCUCCUGGCACCUCCUAUCAGCUGAGUGUGAGUUCACUUGGUCCAGGGGACACAGAGAGUCCUAGAGCAGUAACUGAGGUGAGGACAGCGGAAGAUCAAGAUCAUGCUCCUUCUGCGGUCACUGUAGUUGUCCUGGGACGACAUGAACUGCAGAUAAACUGGGGAGCUCCAGUCGCUCCUUUGGGGAGACUCUUCAAAUAUGAGCUAAGUCUAAAUGGGUGUGUGGUGUACCUGGGCACAGAAAGGUCAUACACUGCUUGUCGCCUGUCUGCUAACACAGCAUACACCUGUGUUGUGACAGCUAUCACCUCCAGGGGGCGCUGCCAGAGCAGUCCGGUCACAAAGAAGACAGCACGGGAUGAAUUCCUGCACUCACAUAGGUAUCUGCACUCUCAUAGCCACCAGUCAGCCUCAAAACACUCCACUCCUUCUUCAAGCAUCCAAGUGAUAAGUGAAGUCAAAAAGAAUGACACAGUUUCUCCAGCUACACUCAAUUCUAAGGUCCAUCCCACUAUGAUCCCGCACAGAGCCCUUGACCUUAGAAAAGACAGGCACAGGCAAACAUCAGUUCCUAAAGGGAUUCAACCUUCCAGUCACACAUCUAAGGAACAUUAUGAGUACAUGUUCCGGUCCUUGACCAUAUCAUCAACCCCAGAGGAUCUCAGACACUUUAAGGCCAAGAUCAGCCCAGCCAGACCGCAGUGGAACUCAGACAGAAAAGUUCCCAUAGACAGAGAGAAACUUCCAGGCAUCAGCAAACAAAUCUCAGAGGAUGUGAGACUGCUUCAGCCUGUUUCGUUUAGUUGGUCUAAUCUGGAAUGGACCAAACAACAUCAAAACAGACCACAAAGAAAUAAAGCCAUUUUGAAGGUCCAAUGUCAGGAAAGAGGAAGACGAUAUCAAAUAUCAUCACAAACCAAACUCACGGCACAGCUGGUUUAAUUUUUGCACAGCGAACACUUCAGGAAAGAAUCCCAUAUCCCCUUCAGUGGAACCUUCUGGUGUCUAUUGGAAGAACCACAAAAUCCUGCAACACCUGCAGAUCCCAAAGUCACAGGAUAUGGGGAUGUGAUGGAAUGAGCUCAAACCUUUGUUUGCCACCUUCGAUUUUAGGAGGAUGUUUAGCCUUUCUAAACUAAAAGUGAUUUUGGUUCUGGUUAUAGCUGGUUAAAACAAUUUUUAAUUUUUUUUUUCAUAUAUACUGUGUGUGUCAAUAAAUAAUUUAUAUUAAGAAUUGUUUUGCGUGCA